rnacentral:rRNA from 1 species
AUACGGAGGAUCCGAGCGUUAUCCGGAUUUAUUGGGUUUAAAGGGAGCGUAGGCGGACUAUUAAGUCAGCUGUGAAAGUUUGCGGCUCAACCGUAAAAUUGCAGUUGAUACUGGUCGUCUUGAGUGCAGUAGAGGUAGGCGGAAUUCGUGGUGUAGCGGUGAAAUGCUUAGAUAUCACGAAGAACUCCGAUUGCGAAGGCAGCUUACUGGACUGUAACUGACGCUGAGGCUCGAAAGUGUGGGUAUCAAACAGGAUUAGAUACCCUGGUAGUCCACACAGUAAACGAUGAAUACUCGCUGUUUGCGAUAUACGGCAAGCGGCCAAGCGAAAGCAUUAAGUAUUCCACCUGGGGAGUACGCCGGCAACGGUGAAACUCAAAGGAAUUGACGGGG